rnacentral:lncRNA from 1 species
UAAUCCUCUUUAAUCUGACUUGGUGAAGUCAGUGGGAGGAUUAAGAUUAACUGGUUAGAUCUUUUCUUAUCUCUCAAUUCAACUAAUUAAAUCCUUUAAAAUUGUUAGGUUCCUAAAAAUAAAAUAGUUAUGGUGAUAACUAGAUCAUAGCCUCCCAUUAAAUUGGAUGAUAAUGAGUACAACGGUUUAGAUGAUCAUUGGAGGUGCCACACGCCUGGUGCUCAUCUAGCUGUCAGAAUUAUCAUUCAUAAUAUGUUGUUUUAGUUGUGUUUUUCUGAUGAUGGUCAGGUUGGUCGAGCCACACUCGGAUCUGGUCACUCAUUUGUUAGAUACACUAAAUUCUAGCAUAUUAAUAGUUUGACCUAACCAAAACUUUCAAUGGAGGUGCUACAUGCCUGCUGAAAAGGUGUCUGGGGCAAAAUUGAAUACUAAAAAUUGUUUGGUGAAAUAAUUGGUUAAGAACCUAUCUAUAGGUACACAAGGGCUGGUCGAGCC